rnacentral:tRNA from 6 species
GUGCCCGUAGCUCAGCUGGAUAGAGCAUUUGACUACGAAUCAAAAGGUCGGGAGUUCGAAUCUCUCCGGGCACGCCA